UGUCUGCAGCCGUGGAACUGCCCUUAGUUGACUUUGUACUCUGGGCAGAUGGGCUUGCAGCGAGAGCAUUUCCUUGAGGAAGCCGAGGCAGGACUGUAAAAGCAGCAGCAGCUCCUUGUGCUAUGUUCCUCUGACAAACCUAACACUGUUGCCACGGAGAUAAUGAUUGUCCCAGUGUCAUUAUCCAUCUAUCAACAGUGAGACUAAAGUUGCUGUGUGAUAUUGUUCAGCAAAUGGAGCACUCUUGCUGAACACUAUGAACUGCUACAUAC